rnacentral:rRNA from 1 species
UACGGAGGGAGCUAGCGUUGUUCGGAAUUACUGGGCGUAAAGCGCGCGUAGGCGGCUCAGCAAGUCAGGGGUGAAAUCCCGGGGCUCAACCCCGGAACUGCCCUUGAAACUGCUAGGCUAGAAUCCUGGAGAGGCGAGUGGAAUUCCGAGUGUAGAGGUGAAAUUCGUAGAUAUUCGGAAGAACACCAGUGGCGAAGGCGACUCGCUGGACAGGUAUUGACGCUGAGGUGCGAAAGCGUGGGGAGCAAAC